ACUACUCGGUGUCAUCGAUACCAUUUUGUUACGAGUUUCGAACGUCGCUCUUGAAAUCCUUACGUCGAAUAUUAAAUUCCUUCGCGGGCUACGACACAUUCCCUCGAAACGUGUCAACGAAAGCGGAGUUUCCUUAUCGAGCAUGGUUAAAGGAAUCGCGAACGAAUCCGAUUAACGACGAGAACGUAGCAGCGAUUCUUUUUAAUAAAACACGAACGCUAGUACGUGAGUACAAACUCGGAAAACUAUUUUCUUUGCGAAAGGUUUCGAACAAAGAGCCGCCGUUUCGCUCGUGACCAACGUUAAUAAAAUGCUAAUACCACGAUGUGAUAUUAAGCCGAUAUCGAAUAAGUAUUAAACAUGCAGCCACCGCCGCUUGACGAAAUUGAAAUUCUUCGCGCAAAUAUCCCAGCCUUUUGUGAAAAUUAUACGACUGUUGGGAAAGAAGGGCAUCGCAUCGAUACUUGCCAUCGGAACUCUUUUAUCUUCGAUCCAACGGUAACGAAACGCUUUAUAUUUUGCCAAUAUGAGAAAAAAGAAAGAAGAAACUUCUAGUUAUUAUUUAAGCUGAAUCGCUUCCGAGUCGGUUACCGAAAUUAGUUAUCGCUGUCCAUACUUGUAAGAAAUACGAUUGCCAACAAGUACCAGCUUCGAUUGAUCUUUCUUAAUCGAAAUCGGACAGAUCUUUUGCGUAGUCGGUAUCGGUAUCAUUUUUCAAAAGCUACCUACUAUUCCUUGGCAAACGAUACUAAAAUAAGAACUACCGUUACGUUUCAGUCGUUCGCUGAUCAAAUCAGCAUUUAAUCUGUUUAAAUCAAACCUAGUAACUUGAUAAAAAUAAGGGACAAAAAUGAACUAUCAAUGACCUCGUGCAUUAUAAUCUUGUUAACCUCGUCGGUACGAGAGUCGACUGCCGCCGAAUAUAUCCUCCUGAAUAUAUGCUCACGGUCGAGCGUCGACUAAAAUCGGCAAUCGUAAAACCCUACAUACACACUGUCGUCUUUAAUCGACUGUUUAUGUCCUUCUGCUUCGCCUUUCUGCAAACUUCGUCAUAACUGUCUUUCGACUAAUGUGCAAUUUCCCAAUUUAAAUAGUUAUUGGAUUUCGCUUAAUUUAGAUAAAUGUCACGAUUGGUGUCAAACGACACUGCGCGGCAGACGAGCGUCGUACCGAAGAAGUUGAUGGCCGUCGUAUCGUAUCGCGAUCUCUCUAAAUGUAUAAUUCUGACGAAGAAACCAUAUCACUUUCAAUAAAUUGCUGCGACAAAUAUUGAUACAACUACGUGUAACGAUUCUAAAAGAGGAAAAAGUAAAAAGAAAGCCGUAUUUAUCAUCCAUGUUUUUAUUAGCAUAUGUAAAAUAAACAUAUAUCGAAUUGCUACAUCGUACUACUAUAUUAUUAUGCUAUUCUUUUUCGUAUUCUCAGUUCAAUCCAAAAGUAUCCGUCGUCCUCCUACGAUCAUUAACCUGCACAAAAUAUAAAAAAUACAUAUACUUCUACUGUUUCUUUUAUACAAGUACAAUAAUUAAGUCAAAUACGCUAUGUUCAGAAGUAGCAAAUUCAAAAUCAUGGCUCUCAUAGAUCUUGGUGAUCGAAUCAUCACGACGGCAUAGACAUGUAAGGCGAAAAUCAUUUAAUUUUGGACAUCGAUAAGUAAAUUCCUUACCUCUCUUGCGGAGCGUUAACUUUUAAGCAUCGUCCUUAGAUCCCAAUCGUCUAUACAAAAAAAAAAA